UACGGGGGGGGCAAGCGUUGUUCGGAAUUACUGGGCGUAAAGGGCUCGUAGGUGGCCAACUAAGUCAGACGUGAAAUCCCUCGGCUUAACCGGGGAACUGCGUCUGAUACUGGAUGGCUUGAGUUUGGGAGAGGGAUGCGGAAUUCCAGGUGUAGCGGUGAAAUGCGUAGAUAUCUGGAGGAACAUCGGUGGCGAAGGCGGCAUCCUGGACCGAUAUUGACGCUGAGGCGCGAAAGCCAGGGGAGCAAACGGG
rnacentral:rRNA from 1 species